GGGGGUGAAAUUGGUUUCGACGGGGUUAAUGAUGCAUCGAACAGCACAUCGUGGUUUCCCGAAAAUCACGUUAAAAAUUCGGACAAAAAAAUAACUGGCGAAUCUAAUUACGCCCUAGCUGCCUAAUAAAAGGGUAGCCGUUCAUUAUUCUUUUUCCUGUUGGAGUUUAAUUGAACGCCGUUUAAAUAGGAUAGCUUAGUUGAAUGUCUGAGGCAACGAAGCGAAAACAAAUCAGAUAUACUUUUCAAAAUCCUGUUUGCCGGAGAUUGAAAAGCGUACAAUAAAAGACAGACUAUGUGUGUAGACGUUCGUUGAAGCAUAGCUUCGGACGCGGGUUCGACUCCCGCCACCUCCACAA
rnacentral:tmRNA from 1 species